rnacentral:rRNA from 1 species
GAUGAACGCUAGCGGCAGGCCUAAUACAUGCAAGUCGAACGGUAACAGGUCUUCGGAUGCUGACGAGUGGCGAACGGGUGAGUAAUACAUCGGAACGUGCCUAGUAGUGGGGGAUAACUACUCGAAAGAGUGGCUAAUACCGCAUGAGAUCUACGGAUGAAAGCAGGGGAUCGCAAGACCUUGUGCUACUAGAGCGGCCGAUGGCAGAUUAGGUAGUUGGUGGGAUAAAAGCUUACCAAGCCGACGAUCUGUAGCUGGUCUGAGAGGACGAUCAGCCACACUGGGACUGAGACACGGCCCAGACUCCUACGGGAGGCAGCAGUGGGGAAUUUUGGACAAUGGGCGCAAGCCUGAUCCAGCAAUGCCGCGUGCAGGAUGAAGGCCUUCGGGUUGUAAACUGCUUUUGUACGGAACGAAAAGCCCUGGGUUAAUACCCUGGGGUCAUGACGGUACCGUAAGAAUAAGCACCGGCUAACUACGUGCCAGCCGCCGCGGUAAAAC